rnacentral:rRNA from 1 species
GAUGAACGCUGGCGGCGUGCUUAACACAUGCAAGUCGAACGAACCUUCGGGUUAGUGGCGGACGGGUGAGUAACGCGUGAGAAUCUGCCCUCAGGAGGGGGACAACAGCUGGAAACGGCUGCUAAUACCCCAUAUGCCGCGAGGUGAAAUGAAUUUCGCCUGAGGAUGAGCUCGCGUCUGAUUAGCUAGUUGGUGUAGGUAAUGGCUCACCAAGGCAUCGAUCAGUAGCUGGUCUGAGAGGAUGAUCAGCCACACUGGGACUGAGACACGGCCCAGACUCCUACGGGAGGCAGCAGUGGGGAAUUUUCCGCAAUGGGCGAAAGCCUGACGGAGCAACGCCGCGUGAGGGAUGAAGGCCUCUGGGCUGUAAACCUCUUUUAUCAAGGAAGAAGACCUGACGGUACUUGAUGAAUAAGCCACGGCUAAUUCCGUG